rnacentral:rRNA from 1 species
CCUACGGGAGGCAGCAGUGGGGAAUAUUGCACAAUGGAGGAAACCCUGAUGCAGCGACGCCGCGUGCGUGAAGAAGUAUUUCGGUACGUAAAACUCUAUCAGCAGGGAGGAAAAUGACGGUACCUGACUAAGAAGCCCCGGCUAACUACGUGCCAGAGGCCGCGGUAAUACGGAAGGCCCGAGCGUUAUCCGGAUUAAUUGGGCUAAAGGGGGGCGUAGGCGGGCGUUCAAGUCAGCUGUAAAAUCGCGCGGCUAAACCGCGCCCCGCAGUUGAAACUGGACGCCUUGAGUUCACAACAGGCAGGCGGAAUUCGUGGUGUAGCGGUGAAAUGCAUAGAUAUCACGAGGAACCCCGAUUGCGAAGGCAGCCUGCCGGGGUGCGACUGACGCUGAGGCUCGAAGGUGCGGGUAGCAAACAGGAUUAGAUACCCCGGUAGUC